rnacentral:rRNA from 1 species
UACAGAGGUCCCAAGCGUUGUUCGGAUUCACUGGGCGUAAAGGGUGCGUAGGCGGUCGGGUAAGUCUGAUGUGAAAUCUCACAGCUUAACUGUGAAACUGCAUUGGAUACUAUCCGGCUCGAGGAAUGGAGGGGAGACUGGAAUACUUGGUGUAGCAGUGAAAUGCGUAGAUAUCAAGUGGAACACCAGUGGCGAAGGCGAGUCUCUGGACAUUUCCUGACGCUGAGGCACGCAAGCCAGGGGAGCAAACGGG